rnacentral:sRNA from 1 species
ACAGUUACGCCGUUUGUAGCUGUAAAGCCCACGGUUGUGGGGCGUAUCAACAGGUAGAAGGAAUAUAUCGAUG